CUGGGUUAUCAGCCACGACAGCAUAUUGCCGACGUUAUUGGAUUUAUGCAUGGAGUUGCGGAUACCGUUAAUACACAUACCUGUUAUUUGUGAAACCGGAAAUUAUUGUAUAUUUCGCUUCUUGUAAAGUCUGGAGCAUUUGGGUAAUUACGUGUGCUGCAAGCUUCAAACUGUGCUUCCCGGGCUGCAGAAUGCCUAUUGUAGAUGUUCUUCAGAGGGUUAGCGACGACGAAAGCGCGUUGGUGGAAGAUUACCGAGGGCUUGCAGGACGUGGAGUUACACCUUCAUCGAAGCAAGAAAUUAUCGAAGACAGAAGCUCCGUUAAAACAAGAGUUCCCUCACGAGUAUGUGGAAAGGAGAGAGACGGACGUGAAGUGAAAAGGGAUUCAAUUCCAUAAAUUGAUCCAGUCAGAUUUACUCUGGAAUGAACUGAUAGAUGAAUAUUGAUCUGUAUUAUUAUAUAGCAUUAUUAAAGGAAGUGAACUGUGAACAUUCUCAUUUAUGACCUUGUUUGCUCAUUAAGGUUAAAACAUACUGUAACCACGAGGGUUACAA